rnacentral:rRNA from 1 species
CUGGCUCAGGACGAACGCUGGCGGCGUGCUUCAUACAUGCAAGUCGAACGAUAAGGCAUCUUCGGGUGUACAUAAGUGGCGGACGGGUGAGUAAUAUGUAGAGAAUCUGCCCUAGAGAGUGGGACAACAGUUGGAAACGACUGCUAAUACCGCAUAUGAGCGUACCUGAAAUGGUAUUCUUGAAAACUCCGGUGCUCUGGGAUGAGUCUGCAUCUGAUUAGCUAGUUGGGGGUGUAAUGGACCACCAAGGCGACGAUCAGUAGCUGGUUUGAGAGGAUGAUCAGCCACAAUGGGACUGAGACACGGCCCAUACUCCUACGGGAGGCAGCAGUAGGGAAUUUUGCGCAAUGGGGGAAACCCUGACGCAGCAACGCCGCGUGACCGAUGAAGCCCUUCGGGGUGUAAAGGUCUGUCAGUGGGGACGAAUAUUGACGGUACCCACAGAGGAAGCAUCGGCUAACUCCGUGCCAGCCGCCGC